GGCUGGUGUUGUAGCUCUCUAGCGUAGUGCUUGACCAUUCUGUGCCAGGCUAUGGGUUCAGUCCCCUGUGUGGUAACAGUAACAAUUAUUGCUGUUAUUGUUCCAGUGAAAAACAGUGUCCUAGCAGCAUGCUGGGAGAAAUGAACAGCUUUAGUGGGCUGGCCGUGGAAGGGAAGCUAGGGCUUUGGAAGAGACGGAAGCCUAGGAAAAGAACAGGGACCAAUUCCUGGUCUUCAGUAGAGACAGACUGUCAGCGGCUGAAGCAGGACCAACACUUCAGAGUCUGCUGCAGGGUCCCCAGCAGUCAGCUGACUCGGCGCCUGUCACAGCACACCCAUUUUCUAACAAGAAUGACUCUCAACCCCUUCCUCUUCCCACUACAUAACUUCAUCCUUUUCUCUCAAGCCAGCCAUGACAUGACAUCAUAUCUCAACACAGGCAACAGUGGAUCCUUUCGUUGUGGAGAGACUUAAAAAGUUAGUGAGUACGGUUUUGGUUUUCUACAACAAAUGCCACAACCUGUACUGACAGCAGAGUCACAUCUCCACUGCAGAUGGAAAAUGAGAGAGUUGGAACUUGCUGUGCUAAACUGCUGAGAUCACCAUCAU
rnacentral:lncRNA from 1 species